AGAAAUUCUGACCAUGACUUUCUGCUCCUAGGCAUACUGUAUAGAUAGUAUAAGGAUUCGGAGAUUUAGUUUUUUUUUUUUUUUUCCAUCUUUUUACUUAUCAUUGUUUUUAAGAUAUUGGGGCUGAGGAGAAUGGGGAGGGAUUUGCCAAGCAGAGUAUAUGGGGAGAGGGCAGUGAAAGUUCACACACAGGGCAUGGCAUGCUCAGCGUUAGCUGGUAGUGAGGAUGAUGAGGGAUUGAAUGUUUCUGAGACGUGCCUCAACAUUGUGCUUUACAUUGGGAGGAGCCAUGUGGUUUUUGGUCAGAUAGGCAGCUUAGAAGGACCAAGUGGGUAGUAGAGUGGAGAAAGAAUGCACCCAAGAGAGACUUGGGGCACGAAAGGGACUGUUGGAAGACUAUUGCAGGAGACAGAUGAGAAGAUACUAACAAAAAAGACUCAGUGGAGAGACUGGAACUACAACAUGUGGUGGCAGGUUGCCUGUGGACAGAUUCCAGGAGAAGGGAGUAAAGAAGGAGCUCCCUGCUGCAGGCUCAAAGACUGUCAACCACCUGCAGAGGUCGCCACCCUGACUACCAGCCUCUGGCUGGCCCACCCGUUGGACACCACGACUCUCCACUCCCUCUUCUAUUACUCCGGGAUCCUAGAUAGUGCCAUGUGAUGUGUGCACUAAGAAGGAGUUGGGAGAGACAGCUCUUCUCUGUGGCUAGUUGCCAGCUGAUGUUUGAAGGAAGGAGAGAAGACAGAGCCUCUUUUCUGCAUCAGAAAAUACUGUGAACACAGAUGUGGGCUUUAGCAACCUGCAAGUGCAGCCUUCUUCUAACAAAAUGAACCCUAUAUGAAAUUCUGGAAAGUAAAAGAGGAAGUUAGAUGGGUGACCCAUUUGAGGUAGGUAUGAUAAUAGCAACUGUUUCUCUUUUGUCAAUUUGUCUUCUGCAUAGGAUAUAUGUGUAGCUGGAAUAAGCAAUGAAUAAA
rnacentral:lncRNA from 1 species